GUUGUUGGUGUGGAGUAGGGGAAGCCCCUCUUGAACCUUCUUUUCCCAGGAAUAGAGUGUUUCUGUAGAAGGAGUGCUCCAGUUCAGGACCCCGAAGGCGUGUCCUUCUACCCAGAAGGACAACACCUGUGACAUAUGUGGUCUGGUCUUGAAAGACAUAUUACACUAGCUGAGCAUCAAGGAAUAUACCAUAGGCAGAAACCAUAAAAGUAUGAGGUGUGUGGGAGAGGGUUCUGGCUCAGUACAAACUCUCACCAGCACCAAAUGGAAGAGCACAGUGGAGAAAAACUCUUCACAUGCAGGGAACAUGUUAACGAUGUCCUGGACAGCCAUGACCUGCAGCAUCAGGCCACCCACAGCAUGGGGAAGCCACACUGGAGCACCAAGAACAAGGAGGCCUUCCAACAUAGCUCUGGCUGCCAGCAGCAGCAGGAAGUCCAUGCCACACAGAAGCCCUUCAAGUGCAGCAACUGAGGGAAAGCCUUUCUGAAGGCCUUCAUGCUCCUGGACCACCGAUAACAGACUCCAAAGAGAGACCUUUCAGAUGCCCCACAGGGGGAAACUUCUCUAAAUAGAACUUGACUGUUGUUGAUCAGCAAAAAAAAUCACACUGGAGAAACAUCCCAUGUCUGUAAGGAAUGUGGGAAGGCUUUCAGGCACCUUUUUAAACUGAGGACACAUCAGAAAGUUCAUACCAGGGGAUCCCUGGGUGGCGCAGCGGUUCAGCGCCUGCCUUUGGCCCAGGGCGCGAUCCUGGAGACCUGGGAUCGAAUCCCACAUCGGGCUCCCGGCGCAUGGAGCCUGCUUCUCCCUCUGCCUAUGUCUCUGCCUCUCUCUCUCCCUGUGACUAUCAUAAAUAAAUGAUAAAAAAAAAAAAAAAAAAAAAAAGAACAUACCAGACAAAUGCAUCACAGUUGCAGUAAAUGUGGGAAAACCUUCACCCAGAAACACUCACUUGUUCAGCACCAGAGUUCACACUAGAGAACAGCCUUAAUGAAUGUGGCCAGUGUGGGAAGGCCUUCACUCGCAGCUUCCAAGUUGUUCACCAUCAGGUUCACUCCUCGGAAAACUUGUGAAAGGAACCUUUGUGAAGAAGCCAUACGCCAAAAAUUGGAAAAUAUCCCAAUAUCCCUACCAGGAGAUGGCCAGAAACAUAGGAAGCUUUCAGGAGCUACAUCACAUUUUGUAAUCUCCCCAGUUGUCACUUCAACAAACGUAAAUGCAAGUCACAAGCUGGGAACUCUGUCUGCAAAACAAAUUCUGACAAGACUUGAAUCUAGAGGCACUGGGUGGCUCGGUUGAGCAUCUGCCUUCGGCUCAGGUCGUGAUCCUGGGUCUUGGGGUCGAGUCCCGCACCAGGCUCCCUCUCCCUCUGCCUCCCUCUCUCUGUCUCUUAUGAAUAAAUAAAUAAAAUCUUAAAAAGAGACUUGAAUC
rnacentral:lncRNA from 1 species